UGCCAGCAGCCGCGGUAAUACCGGCGGCUCGAGUGGUGGCCGAUAUUAUUGAGUCUAAAGGGUCCGUAGCCGGCUUUGCAAGUCUCUCGGGAAAUCCAGCGGCUUAACCGUUGGUCGUCCGGGGGGUACUACAUUGCUUGGGACUGGGAGAGGUAGGAGGUACUCAGGGGGUAGGAGUGAAAUCCUGUAAUCCUUUGGGGACCACCGGUGGCGAAGGCGUCCUACCAGAACAGGUCCGACGGUGAGGGACGAAAGCUAGGGGCACGAACCGGAUUAGAUACCCGGGUAGUCCUAGCCGUAAACGAUGCUCGCUAGGUGUCACAACAGUCGUGAAUUGUUGUGGUGCCGUAGGGAAGCCGUGAAGCGAGCCACUUGGGAAGUACGACCGCAAGGUUGAAACUUAAAGGAAUUGGCGGGGGAC
rnacentral:rRNA from 1 species